rnacentral:rRNA from 1 species
GACGAACGCUGGCGGCGUGCUUAACACAUGCAAGUCGAACGCUGAAGCUCAGCUUUUGUUGGGUGGAUGAGUGGCGAACGGGUGAGUAACACGUGAGUAACCUGCCUCCUUCUUUGGGAUAACGCCCGGAAACGGGUGCUAAUACUGGAUAUUCACUGGUCUUCGCAUGGGGGUUGGUGGAAAGGGUUUUUCUGGUGGGGGAUGGGCUCGCGGCCUAUCAGCUUGUUGGUGGGGUGAUGGCCUACCAAGGCUUUGACGGGUAGCCGGCCUGAGAGGGUGACCGGUCACAUUGGGACUGAGAUACGGCCCAGACUCCUACGGGAGGCAGCAGUGGGGAAUAAUGCACAAUGGGCGCAAGCCUGGUGCAGCGACGCCGCGUGAGGGAUGGAGGCCUUCGGGUUGUGAACCUCUUUCGCUCAUGGUCAAGCCGCAACAAUGGUUGUGGUGAGGGUAGUGGGUAAAGAAGCGCCGGCUAACUACGUG